GCGUUUGCCCCUCACUACUUUGCUCUUAUCACCUGGGAAAGUCAUGGGAGUCCCUGAUCAGCUCAUACUUUUGACAAAUACAUUGCUGCAUGCAUACUGUGAUGGGUUCAGGUUGUCAGAAUCGGGACCCAAGUAUGGCUCGUAUUAUUUCUACCUAUAGAAAACCUGAAGAAUGAACCUUGUGGAUCAGGAAAAGUCAA